CCUACGGGUGGCAGCAGUGAGGAAUAUUGGUCAAUGGGCGAGAGCCUGAACCAGCCAAGUAGCGUGAAGGAUGACUGCCCUAUGGGUUGUAAACUUCUUUUAUAUGGGAAUAAAAUGUUCCACGUGUGGGAUUUUGUAUGUACCAUAUGAAUAAGGAUCGGCUAACUCCGUGCCAGCAGCCGCGGUAAUACGGAGGAUCCGAGCGUUAUCCGGAUUUAUUGGGUUUAAAGGGAGCGUAGGUGGAUUGUUAAGUCAGUUGUGAAAGUUUGCGGCUCAACCGUAAAAUUGCAGUUGAAACUGGUAGGCUUGAGUACAGUAGAGGUGGGCGGAAUUCGUGGUGGAGCGGUGAAAUGCUUAGAUAUCACGAAGAACGCCGAUUGCGAAGGCAGCUCACUGGACUGCAACUGACACUGAGGCUCGAAAGUGUGGGGAUCAAACAGGAUUAGAUACCCGAGUAGUC
rnacentral:rRNA from 1 species